GGGGAGGGAGAGCCGGAGGAGAAGGAAGUAGUGGACUUGAAGCUAUUUGCUUGCCAUCAGUAUGCUCAUGCUGGAAGGAGGGACAGCCCGAUGUGGGGGACGCGGGAAGCAGACUGAAGGACGAGCACCUGCUGCCCGGGGGGCAGGCUGGAGUCUCAUCUUCAGACCCCUCCGCUGGGAGAGCUCCUCAAUAAACUUCCUGCCUGCAGUCAUCAGUCUCCACAUCCCAGUGAGCACCGUUUCGCCAACACGGCUCAGUUUUUCUUUUUUUGUUUGUUUGUUUUUGAGGGACAGGGGCUGGGGAUUGAACCCGGGACCUUGUAUUGUGGGGAGCUGGAGCUCAACCCCCAACGCCCAUCGGCUCGCCUGGGUUGGGGCUUUUUGUCAGUUUUGCUUGUCGUUUGUCUUUUCAGGAGGCACCGGGAAGCGAACCCGGGACUUUCCAUGUGGGAGGCAGGCGCUUGACGGCUUGAGCCACGUCUGCUUCCUCGGCUCGGUUUUGGCAACUGAGAAAUGGGGAAGGACCAGGGUGAAGAGAGUGAGGCAUUUACCUUGGGUGCAUCAUCUAAGGGAGCACCAAACUCAGGGAAGAGAUAAAAUAUUAUUUUAAUGCAGCAUUUAAAAAAACUGAAAGUGCAUGCAAAGAUGUCACGAUGAGCUAAACAAUCAGCAUUAUAGAUAAAACCAGGACUCAUCAAGGAUGGGAUUGCCUCGGAUGCAAAAUCCAAAAGGGCACCCAAAACCUCUCUCGGAAGGUAAUAGAUAAUGCUCUAGUAAAAAGUCAAAACAAAUGCCAAAAUAUCCACAAUGAACCGAAUAUCGCCAUCUUAAAUAAAGACAGGAUUCUACAGGAACGGGAUAAAGGUGAGGCAAGUGGUCUGUGCAAAUGCAGGCCCUGUCCCUUCUUUAUUUUAAAGGUUGAAGGGAUGGGACCUGCAUUUACGCAGAUCACACAGAUUUCCGUGCCGCUGACAACAAUAGAAGCAAAGAAGAGGCAGCAAAUAGACACAGAGAACAGACAACCGGGGUGGG
rnacentral:lncRNA from 1 species